AUUCAAGCUAAGAAAUCUAGGUCUCAUCAAAGAUCCAAGCACAUCCUCAAAUGCUUCCAUCUCGUUCGAGAAAUUGAAGGGCAAUAAGAUGUUGUCCUCGAAUGAGUAGACACUAAGAAUAACAUAGCAGACCCAUUUACUAAGACCAUGCCAUAGCAGCUAUUUGAUCGCCAUCUUAAUUGUAUGGGAUUGAAAUACAAAGGAGAUUGACUUUAGUAUAAGUGGG
rnacentral:lncRNA from 1 species